GAUUUUCUGAAGUAUUUGUGAAGCUCUUAUUUUGAACCUACAGUUCAAACAAGGGAGUUCAAUAUUUAGAUGAGUAUAUGUGCUUCAUGUGAAUCCUUUUACGGUAUUGAAUGAGAUAGAUGCAUCUGUGAGGACACCCACCUAUCGUAGAGAUAGGUGUCAAAAUUGGGGUAACGGUAUUUUGGAUUUACA
rfam:Clostridium acetobutylicum ATCC 824, complete genome.